GCCUGGGGCUGACUGGAGAAGAAUUACAUGGCAAUGAGAAGUCCCUGGCAGUCUAGUGGUUAGGGCUUGAUGCUUUCACUGCCCAGGGCCCAAGUUCGAUCCCUGAUUGGGGAACUAAGAUCCUGCAAGCCAUGUGCAGUAGCCAAAAAAAAAAAAAAGUGACAUAAAGUAGGUGAAAAGGUCCCAUGCCCACCUUGGGUGUGUGCAUGCUAAGUCUCUUCAAUCGUGUCCAACUCUUUGUGACCCUAUAGACUGUAGCCCAUCAGGCUCCUCUGUCCAUGGGGAUUCUCCAAGCAAGAAUACUGAAGUGCUGGAGGGGGUUGCCAUGCCCUCCUCCAGGGGAUCUUUCCAACCCAGGGAUCGAACCCUUCAUCUCUUAUGUCUCCCACAUUGGCAGGCAGGUUCUUUACCACUCGUGCCACCUGGGAAGCCCAUUUUCACCUUAAGCCUCCGAAUUGGGACAUAGACCAAAUGAGGUAUAAGGCCUAAUAAGAAGCAAGCCAAAGUAAUUGUGCCUUCUGAUUUCAAGGAAGAAUUGACCUCAUGGUGGAUGAGCUACAUUUAUCCUUGUGGCCCAUUAUUGGCUCUCACCAGCCAGAGGCCGGAAGGGGCUUAGGGCUCUGGGGCCAAGCCUAUGGGCCUGUGGCCUGUCUGCCUUCAGGCCCUGCAGCCCUCAGACUGCAGGUCAGAACCCAGGAGACAUGAGUUACUUAACUGAGAAGAUGAGUUACUUAACUGAGGCCGGAAAGCUUUUGAAAUGAGGCCCAUCUGCCCUCAAACAAGCGCUGUGUGCCUGUGACCCUGAAGAGAGGGCAAUGUCUUUGACCCGGCCAAGAUCCCCCUUGGGACCGCUCCAUCCUCUUCUGACCUUCUCACCCCCCGGGCUGCUCACCCCCACCUGCCGCAUCUGUGGUCUAACAGCUGUGAGGGUGAGCAGAGACAUUAAGCCCUAAUGCCUCCAGGUUCUUAGCAGCUGGGAGCUCUCUCUGUUGCCUGGUGGUUUCCAGCCUUUCUUCAGGAAUGUUCAGCUGACACCAUCUCUAUCAGCUGUGAGUGCCGAGAGGCUGAGGACUGAUGGGUAGGCAAAAUGCGUUUCAGCCUUGGCUUACCAGACCGGAGACCACUGCAGAUCCUCAUGUCUGCUUUGUUCGCGCUGUUUUCCGGUUGGGAAAAAUGUUAUUGAGAGUAUUGGGGUGGGGCCUCUCGAGACUCCAGGGUCUAGAGUCUAUCUGUUGACAUGCAGUUGGAGCCGGUGGGGAUGGCAGGGAGAAAAAGACCCUUUCUGAGAACUUGAGGCAGAGUUGGCUAUGGAACUGAUAAGGAUCAAAGGACAAGUCCUGGGCUCUUGGGAGCUGCCAUGCUCCCAGUGAGCCUCCAGUUCCCAGCCUCCCAGUGGCUCCCAGGCCCCAGUAGGCCCCACUUCAGGGCUCUAAAGCCCCUGGCUGCCUGCAUCAGAAUCGCCUAGGUGCUUGUUACAGUUGCCCAAUGCUAGGUUCCAGCCUAGAUGUUCUGAUCUCAAAGUAGAGGAGGAAGGACAGGGACUGUGGCUCCCAGCCCCCUGACCCAGGUGACUCUCAAUUUAGGAACCAUCUCCCUGUGUGCUCAGGCCAAACCCAGACCAGGGGCAGCUCCACACACACAGCCUGUUUCCUCUUCCUUGGAGGCUCCCCCACCCCCGGAUUUCUGGGUUAACGGCCAGAAAUUCCGGAAAAGCAGCAUUUCUCCUGGUGCUCUCCACAAAGGAGCCGGUGGCUAGGCCAGAGAAGCAGCCAGUCCUCACAGGAGUCCCUCUCCAGAGCCUUCCACCCUUGUAACCCCACCUGGUCCCUGCCCCGCGGGCUUCUGGCCAGGUUGACAGCAUGGGAAAGCCCCGUGGGAGCCGCAGAGGCGGUGGAGAGGAGGUGCCAGUGAGGGCUGGGAACCCCACCUCCCCUGGGGGUGCUGCUGGCGCCCCAGGCCAAGGCCUCCCCACCUCGGGGUGCCCGCUGAGCCCCAUCCCGUGGCACCCGCCCCCUCCUGCUUUCUCCUCUGCACUCAGAGCCGGGGAGGCCUGCUCUGGCCAACCUGCAGACUUGGAUUCAUCUUUCAAAACCAACCUCCGCCCCCUCACCUUUUCUGCUAAUCCUCCUGCCAAGCUGACAGAGCCCUGAUGUUCCCUUCCCGUGGGGAGGUGGCACGUCCCUCAUGUCCCUCACGCCGUGGGCCUCACAUCAGCACGCAGAGCGCCCCUGCAGGCGUGCCUCUGUGAGCAGCCACAGGUCAGACGCAGGUACCACAGCGACUCUUGACCUCACUUCCACAGGCUCACCCCUCAUGGCAAUCGUGUGUGACUCAAGCCACUUGGGAUGAAAUAUGAUUGGUUAGGAUGUGACCUGCCACAGUGGCCGAAGUUAGCUCACAG
ensembl:lncRNA